rnacentral:rRNA from 1 species
CGAUCUGGCUCAGGAUGAACGCUGGCGGCGUGCUUAACACAUGCAAGUCGAACGGAGUUUUAACGGAAGUUUCGGAUGGAAGUUUAAGAACUUAGUGGCGGACGGGUGAGUAACGCGUGGGUAACCUGCCUCAUACAGGGGGAUAACAGUUAGAAAUGACUGCUAACACCGCAUAAUAUAGCGAAACCGCAUGAUUUUGCUAUCAAAUAUUUAUAGGUAUGAGAUGGGCCCGCGUCUGAUUAGCUAGUUGGUGGGGUAAAAGCCUACCAAGGCGACGAUCAGUAGCCGGCUUGAGAGAGUGACCGGCCACAUUGGGACUGAGACACGGCCCAAACUCCUACGGGAGGCAGCAGUGGGGAAUAUUGGACAAUGGGGGAAACCCUGAUCCAGCCGACGCCGCGUGAGUGAAGAAGUAUUUCGGUAUGUAAAGCUCUAUCAGCAGGGAAGAUAAUGACAGUACCUGACUAAGAAGCCCCGGCUAACUACGUGCCAGCCGCCGC